AAUAUUGCGCAAUGGAGGGAACUCUGACGCAGCGACGCCGCGUGAGCGAUGAAGGUUUUCGGAUCGUAAAGCUCUGUCCUUGGGGAAGAAGGUCUUCGGACUUGACGGUACCUAAGGAGGAAGCCCCGGCUAACUACGUGCCAGCAGCCGCGGUAAUACGUAGGGGGCAAGCGUUGUCCGGAUUUACUGGGCGUAAAGGGCGCGUAGGCGGUAGCAUAAGUCAGAUGUGAAAGUCCAGGGCUCAACCGUGGAAUUGCAUUUGAAACUAAAAGGCUUGAGUGCAGGAGAGGAGAGUGGAAUUCCUAGUGUAGCGGUGAAAUGCGUAGAUAUUAGGAGGAACACCAGUGGCGAAGGCGACUCUCUGGACUGCGACUGACGCUGAGGCACGAAAGCGUGGGGAGCGAAC
rnacentral:rRNA from 1 species